AUACAUAACAACCUAAUUGGAAUUAAAAGUACCACUGCAAUGAUAAAACAGAAAAGGAAAAUUAGAUGUGGACUAUUAAAUAUUAGAUAUCUGUCUUCUAAAGCUGUACUGGUAAACGAUCUGAUAUCAUUAUGUAAUUGAUGUAUUCUGUCUUACUGAAACAUGGCUGGGCCAUGAAGAAUAUGUUAGUCCAAAUGAAGCCACUCCACCCACC